UACGUAGGGUGCGAGCGUUAAUCGGAAUUACUGGGCGUAAAGCGUGCGCAGGCGGUUAUUUAAGUCAGGGGGGAAAGCCCUGGGCUUAACCUAGGAAUUGCGCUUGAGACUGGAUAGCUUGGAGUGCGGCAGAGGGAGGUGGAAUUCCACGUGUAGCAGUGAAAUGCGUAGAGAUGUGGAGGAACACCGAUGGCGAAGGCAGCCUCCUGGGCCAGCACUGACGCUCAUGCACGAAAGCGUGGGGAGCAAACAGG
rnacentral:rRNA from 1 species